UUUUUUUUUUUUUGGUAAAUUACAAAUGGUACUUGCAGUAACCUAACCUUGCCAUGCUAUAUGGGCAACCAAGUAUUCCAAUAAUUUAUACAAUCGAAAACAAAAGAAAAGCCCACUAAGAAGUAAUACCUCCAUUACAUGUUUACAUUUCAGGUUCAAAACCCUGACAUCCCUCUUCCAAGAUUUGGCCCUCCAAUUUACCUAAAAAAAAAAAGAAAAAGAAAAGGGAGAACAUGGUUUUCUCAAACCUAUCGAUGAAGCAAUUGAUCAGCCAAAAUGUGUGGGGUAAGUGCCCUUUUCGGGCACAGUUUCCCUUGUGAUAAAGGGACGACAUUA
rnacentral:lncRNA from 1 species